rnacentral:misc_RNA from 1 species
AACGGUCUAUACCUGCGGUACCUGCGGAGGGAUCAUUACAGAGUUAUUUAAACUCCUAAACCCAUGUGUAUUUACCAGUUUGUUGCCUCGGUCGACCCUGCCCUUGGGGGGUAAUUCUAGGGUAGGCCGAAGGCCCAUAUAAACUCUUGAAUAUUUGGUUAUCUGAGGUUUUAUUUUUAAAUAAGUUAAAACUUUUAACAACGGAUCUCU